AUUGAACGCUGGCGGCACGCCUAACACAUGCAAGUCGAGCGGCAGCGAGGUUAGUAGCAAUACUAACUGUCGGCGAGCGGCGGACGGGUGAGGAUACUGUAGGAACCUGUCCUUCAGGGGGGAUAACUAAGGGAAACUUUAGCUAAUACCGCAUAUACUCGAGAGAGGAAAGCUGCCCGCAAGGGUGGCACUGAAGGAGGGGCCUGCAUCCGAUUAGCUAGUUGGUGAGGUAAAGGCUCACCAAAGCGAUGAUCGGUAACUGGUCGGAGAGGACGACCAGUCACACUGGGACUGAGACACGGCGCAGACUCCUGCGGGAGGCAGCAGUGGGGAAUAUUGGACAAUGGGGGCAACCCUGAUCCAGCGAUGCCGCGUGGGUGAAGAAGGCCUUCGGGUUGUAAAGCCCUUUAGGAUGGGAAGAAGUUGUGUAGGUGAAUAGCCUGCAUGAUUGACGGUACCGUCAGAAUAAGCACCGGCAAACUCUGUGCCAGCCGCCGCCGUAA
rnacentral:rRNA from 1 species